rnacentral:lncRNA from 1 species
GAACUAAGAUUCCUCUGAUUUAUUAUCUAAGGAGGAAAUAAUGAUCUUACGAGUUUCACCGUUUAAUUUUACAAAUGCCACCAUUGCAGGAGAGGACAUAUAUUCACGUGUACAAUACCUCGACAAUGAAGGAUACAACAACACACACACACACACUGUAGUCCAUGUCGUUUAAAGCGUAUAUGCAAUCAUAAAACAACGCACACACACCGAGUGUGUAGAAAUAGCAAUCACUCGUACAAAAUAUAAUUCACAAAACACACCAAUUUGUAGCAUAUUA